UGGGGAAUAUUGGACAAUGGGCGCAAGCCUGAUCCAGCCAUGCCGCGUGAGUGAUGAAGGCCCUAGGGUUGUAAAGCUCUUUCAGUGGUGAAGAUAAUGACGGUAACCACAGAAGAAGCCCCGGCUAACUUCGUGCCAGCAGCCGCGGUAAUACGAAGGGGGCUAGCGUUGUUCGGAAUAACUGGGCGUAAAGCGCGCGUAGGCGGGCUGGAAAGUUGGGGGUGAAAUCCCGGGGCUCAACCCCGGAACUGCCUUCAAAACUAUCAGUCUAGAGUUCGAGAGAGGUGAGUGGAAUUCCGAGUGUAGAGGUGAAAUUCGUAGAUAUUCGGAGGAACACCAGUGGCGAAGGCGGCUCACUGGCUCGAUACUGACGCUGAGGUGCGAAAGUGUGGGGAGCAAACAGGAUUAGAUACCCCUGUAGUCC
rnacentral:rRNA from 1 species